GAUCAACCAGGUAGCAUUCCUCAUUAGACAUCAACAACGCACGAGACGAUCCAUAAAGGUUCGCUCAAGACGUGUAUGAUUGUCGUUCGCACAAAGCGUGGGACGCUGAAUUUGGGACAAAACAAGGUUGCAAUGACCUUGUACCCUAUCAAUGUUCCGUACCCAAGAGACCACGCACAACAUCAUGAGCCAACAAUCCAAGCACAUCAAAGUGGCCUGAAGAGUGGAACACAAUGUUUGCUACAAAGUCCACCAAAUGUCACAUUCCGAAAGGUGCAACAUUUGAUGGAUAGCCAAAUAUUCCAAAAACGAAUGCCUUUUAUGCAAGAACUUAGCACAGGAAACCAAAAUAAAGCAAAAGAUGCUCCAACCAUCAACUGAAAAGGAAUGCACAACACAUUGUCGCUGCUCAAGCAGGGAUCCAACAUUGAUAAUGCAAACCAAACACAACUCA
rnacentral:misc_RNA from 1 species